rnacentral:rRNA from 1 species
AUUGAACGCUGGCGGCAGGCCUAACACAUGCAAGUCGAACGAGUGGCGGACGGGUGAGUAAUGUCUGGGAAACUGCCUGAUGGAGGGGGCUAACUACUGGAAACGGUAGCUAAUACCGCAUACCAUCGGAUGAGCCCAGAUGUGAUUAGCUAGUAGGUGGGGUAAAGGCUCACCUAGGCGACGCUCCCUAGCGGGUCUGAGAGGAUGACCAGCCACACUGGAACUGAGACACGGGCCAGACUCCUCCGGGAGGCAGCAGUGGGGAAUAUUGCACAAUGGGCGCAAGCCUGAUGCAGCCAUGCCGCGUGUAUGAAGAAGGCCUUCGGGUUGUAAAGUACUUUCAGCGGGGAGGCGUUACCCGCAGAAGAAGCACCGGCUAACUACGUGCCAGCAGCCGCGGUAAUUC